GCUAACUCAGCACUGCUGUGAUCGAUGCAGUGGUGUGGAGUUAGCGGGUUUGGUGAAGGCAAGCUAAGUCGAUGGCAGAGCACUCUCCCCUCGACUUCUGUGCUCCACCUCCCCGAGAGGCGGAAGUAUCCCCAGUGAGAGAAGUCAGAAUAACAGCCACCACCUUUAUAAAAUGCUUCAAGACCUAUUCAGUGUGAAGACAGGCUGUAGCUCAUUCGGAAACCUCCUCUUCGUCCAGGUUUUCAAGGUUCGCAAGAACAGAGAACGAAACAAUGCUAGCCGAAGCAGAUGAUGUUCCAGCAGGGGCCACUCCAGAGGGUGUCUGAGCCGGUCCCCUAUGGAUACUUCUGAGGGAAAAACUUCUGACACCGGUGCAUGUGGCGAGCGCACACACGUAAUAUGGAAUAGAAAUGAGCAAGCACUCGAAGAAGAACCCCAAGCUCUAGCUCUCUCUCUUUCACCUAAGAUGACAAAGGAACCAGCCUUUUUAUUUUCGGGGAAGGUCCAACUUGAGAAUUUGGUCAGCCUUAUUGCUGGGAACAUGUUGUAAGGAUUUUACCUUGAACCAAAUCUAGCUUGUUAAAUUUUAGCUACUAGAAAACAUUUUGUCUUUAUUUCUCUUGUAGCCAUUUCUGACAUUAAUACCUGGUACCUGAAUCCACUUAAAAUCUUAUCUUCUUUUGUUAAUAAUCUUGUUUUAUUUUUUAAUCUAACCAAUCCAGUGCGGUGUUUAAACUGAACUGUUUGCUAACAGUUCAAGAAGCAGAUUGUUGAAUGUUAACCCUUUACAGGGACAAUGGAUCUUUAAUACCUGAACUGUCCAGGAGAGAGCUGGUCAGUGUAAAACACAUGUUGUAGCUCCCAACGUGGGCUACUCACAACAACACAACCCCCCACUGGUCUGGAGUGCAACCCAAAAUGUGACAACCCCAAAGCAGGAUCUCUGUAUAGUUUAACAUGAAGAGGAAAUAAAGAUUCUUGCUUCCAUGCCUUGCUACGUAGUGCUAAUGAGAAAUUGAUACCUGUU